rnacentral:misc_RNA from 1 species
AACGCACAUUGCGCCCGCCAGUAUUCUGGCGGGCAUGCCUGUCUGAGCGUCAUUUCAACCCUCAUACCCCUAGGGUGUGGUGUUGGGGAUCGGCCAAGGCCCGCAAGGGACGGCCGGCCCCUAAAUCUAGUGGCGGACCCGUCGUGGCCUCCUCUGCGAAGUAGUAAUAUUCCGCAUCGGAGAAGCGACGAGCCCCUGCCGUUAAACCCCCAACUUUCUAAGGUUGACCUCAGAUCAGGUAGGAAUACCCGCUGAACUUAA